rnacentral:tRNA from 1 species
UCCUCUGUAGUUCAGUCGGCAGAACGGCGGACUGUUAAUCCGUAUGUCACUGGUUCGAGUCCAGUCAGAGGAGUCA